rnacentral:rRNA from 1 species
ACCUGGAGAUAGCUGGUUCUCUCCGAAAUAGCUUUAGGGCUAGCCUCAAGUGAUGAUUAGUGGAGGUAGAGCACUGUUUGGACGAGGGGCCCCUCUCGGGUUACCGAAUUCAGACAAACUCCGAAUGCCAAUUAAUUUAACUUGGGAGUCAGAACAUGGGUGAUAAGGUCCGUGUUCGAAAGGGAAACAGCCCAGACCACCAGCUAAGGUCCCAAAAUAUAUGUUAAGUGGAAAAGGAUGUGGCGUUGCCCAGACAACUAGGAUGUUGGCUUAGAAGCAGCCAUCAUUUAAAGAGUGCGUAAUAGCUCACUAGUCGAGUGACACUGCGCCGAAAAUGUACCGGGGCUAAACAUAUUACCGAAGCUGUGGAUUGUCCUUUGGACAAUGGUAGGAGAGCGUUCUAAGGGCGUUGAAGCAUGAUCGUAAGGACAUGUGGAGCGCUUAGAAGUGAGA